rnacentral:rRNA from 1 species
UACAGAGGUGGCAAGCGUUGUUCGGAAUUACUGGGCGUAAAGGGCUCGUAGGCGGCCAACUAAGUCGGACGUGAAAUCCCCAGGCUCAACCUGGGAACUGCGUCCGAUACUGGAUGGCUUGAAUUCGGGAGAGGGAUGCAGAAUUCCAGGUGUAGCGGUGAAAUGCGUAGAUAUCUGGAGGAAUACCGGUGGCGAAGGCGGCAUCCUGGACCGACAUUGACGCUGAUGAGCGAAAGCCAGGGGAGCAAACGGG